UACAGAGGUCCCGAGCGUUGUUCGGAUUCAUUGGGCGUAAAGGGUGCGUAGGUGGCGCGCUAAGUCAGGUGUGAAAUUUCGGAGCUUAACUCCGAAACUGCAUUUGAUACUGGCGUGCUUGAGGACUGGAGAGGAGACUGGAAUUCACGGUGUAGCAGUGAAAUGCGUAGAUAUCGUGAGGAAGACCAGUGGCGAAGGCGGGUCUCUGGACAGUUCCUGACGCUGAGGCACGAAGGUCAGGGGAGCAAACGGG
rnacentral:rRNA from 1 species